rnacentral:lncRNA from 10 species
GGACAAAACCAUAUUUUUGUGAUGUAGAUGGAGAGGUUGUAUCACCUUGUUAUAGCCUCAUACAACCCAAUGUGGAGUUACUGUCCACUGUUUUAGCACCCCCAUACCACUCUGUUCAUGUUACUUUCAUGGUUCUUACCAAGUAACAUGAACUUACCCCAACACAUUAUGGCGUUUGGUGGCUUAACAUAUCUGUCUCCUGAUGCUCAAAAAAACCCAUUU